CUCACAUUUAUAGACUUCACUGAAAAUUGAAAAACAUGGCAGUAUCCUUUUUCUUUUCCUGAUUACAAAUUUUUUACGGUCAAAUUGAUGUGAAUUUCUUCAAACUAGAAAAAUUAGCGACAAAAGUUAUAUAUAUAAAAAAAAGAAACCACUCUAUUGAUGGAGCCCAAAGCCUCAACCAUAAGAAUGGCGGUUCAUGUACACUCGGUGAAGGUACAUUUUUUUCCUGCCUUUGCAAACUUUGCCAUUUCCCUUGUGCCUUAGGGACAGCUUUAACAGCUAUGGCUGUAUUGCCAAUUGCCAACUUGUAGGCUGCUGUAAAUACUCAACCACACUGGACAGCGACGGCGAUGUGGGCAAGGUAGGUGGGUAUUUAGGGCAACUUGCCUCCUCCAGUUCAAUUGGGCGAUGGCUUCGAGGUGAUGAACGACGCGUCGGCAACGGCGUCAGUGAGAUAAAGCGGUAAUGGUGAACGACAAUGGCAGUGGCCAGCGGCGGCUUCGAAGUGGUUUGUGGGAAAUUGUGAUAAAACGACGUAGUAGAAGGUUCAACGGA
rnacentral:misc_RNA from 1 species